rnacentral:rRNA from 1 species
GAUGAACGCUGGCGGCGUGCCUAAUACAUGCAAGUCGAGCGAACAGACGAGGAGCUUGCUCCUCUGACGUUAGCGGCGGACGGGUGAGUAACACGUGGAUAACCUACCUAUAAGACUGGGAUAACUUCGGGAAACCGGAGCUAAUACCGGAUAAUAUAUUGAACCGCAUGGUUCAAUAGUGAAAGACGGUUUUGCUGUCACUUAUAGAUGGAUCCGCGCCGCAUUAGCUAGUUGGUAAGGUAACGGGUUACCAAGGCAACGAUGCGUAGCCGACCUGAGAGGGUGAUCGGCCACACUGGAACUGAGACACGGUCCAGACUCCUACGGGAGGCAGCAGUAGGGAAUCUUCCGCAAUAGGCGGAAACCUGGCGGAGCAACGCCGCGUGAGUGAUGAAGGUCUUCGGAUCGUAAAACUCUGUUAUUGGGGAAGAACAAAUGUGUAAGUAACUAUGCACGUCUUGACGGUACCUAAUCAGAAAGCCACGGCUAACUACGUG